UUCUUUGGGCGUGGUAGAUUUGUAGCCGGAUUGCGGGCCACGUUAAACAUUCCGCUAAAGAGGUCAGGAUGUGAAGGAC
rnacentral:ncRNA from 2 species